UUUUUUUCCUUUGGUUUUCCAUUCAAUUCUCUGAAGUUGAACCCACAACAAUUCCUAUAAUUCCCAUAAAUUUUAUUAGUUUUUCUAUAAAAAAAUAUCUUCAGCUAUGGGUAGCUCUAAGGUAGUAAUAGUCCGCAGCACUGUCGUCUUUCGUCGUGCGCCCAAGAAAGGAUUUCCGGGUGUGAAUAUAGCCAACAUUGUCAAGUUUAUCAAAACCAUAGAUGCACCCAUCAAAAUGAAGUAAAGCUGAAAGAAGUCUCAAAAUUCCCAAUAUGUUUAAAUGUUAAAUAAAAUUUCCAUGUGCUAAAAUCGAAAGCUUUGUACCACUGUGGCACUGGAUUGAGGACAGGA
rnacentral:sRNA from 1 species